GACGGCGACGGCGAGCGCGACGUACGAGCUGCGCCCCGACGCCGUCCCGUCGACGCAGCGCGCGUCGUCCUCCUCCGCGGCGCCGCCCGAGCUCGUCCUCUACCGCGACACGAACGCGUGGUGCCCGUUCUGCGAGCGCGUCUGGCUCGCGCUCGAGGCGAAGGGGGUGUCGUACACGUGCGAGUUCGUGGACCUAAGGCGCGUUCACGUUUCGCUUUCGUUUCGUUUUUCACCCGUCGCUCGGGGUCAACGUUCGAUCGCGUCCCCUUUCAACUGACCGACGAACGAACGUUUUUUGUACGGACAUCAGAAAUAAGCCCAAGUGGUUCACGGACUUGGUGCCCACAGGGCUCGUCCCCGCCGCGCGGUUCGCGGCGGACGACGCGCUGGUGUGGGAGUCUAUGGACAUCCUUCGCGAGCUCGAGACGCGGUUCCCGGACGCGCCCGCGCUGAC
rnacentral:lncRNA from 1 species